GUCCCCAACCUGUGGCCUCCAAACCUCGGUCCAGGAUCAAAUUGCCAAAGCCGCCUUGUCCAUCCAGCCCGGCUGGAAGUGAUUUUUAAACAAAGCCCACAUUCCUUCUGAGUCUGUCGGCCUGCCAUGUUCCCAAGCCCACCACCACGCCUGCAAUUUCCUUGCCAAGCCGACUCCUCGGGAUAAACGCAUGGCGAAAAACCGGCAAGGAAAUAAACAAACAGAUCCCCAUCACACCCUGCCACGUCCCACCUCGCUCGGGCGUCUGUUCAAAACAAGCAUCCUGGUGACAAUGUCGAGACAUCGGGGGCCCUGGCGGGGAGGGGGGCGGGCACUGGGGGCCCCGGGGAGGACAAUCGGAAGAAAAUGGAGGUCAGACCCCCAAGCAGGGCUGGCCGGCUUUCAUCCCGCAAUGGAAAUCGGGGAGGAUUUUGCCUCCGAAGGCUCCCAGUGGACUUUUGUCGUGAGGACAAGAAACGCUGCACGCGGAUAAAGUGGCUUUUAGAACUAUCAGAAAGAGACAGGAGAAGGACGAGACGGCUCAUCUGUACCGCCCUCCUGGGACAAUUCUACCCCGUUUCCACCCGGCGCGACUUCUCCUCCUUCGCUACUGUCUGCUUUCCUCCCGCGUGGAGGGCUCCGCGCUGCGUGGCACAGGAUGCAGUUCUCACUUCCUAUGGUCUCUGCUCUGCCUGGAGCGUCCCAGGGGCAGGCCGCAGCGUGGAGAAUUUCCAGAUCUGAGCGGGAAAGGAGGCUAGACCCGCUCCACCAUCGUGGCCAGCCAUCGUCCCCACACACCCACCACGAAGCGCUUUGGGUCAGGCGCUCCCCAGCUUCAGCCCGCGGGCCUCCCAGAAGGACCCCCUAAGGCGGGUUCUGCCCCCAUCUCUGUUUUCCAGAGAAGACAACUGAGGCUCAGAGACGCUGAGCCCUUUGUGCAAGGCCACACGGCAGGUCAGUGCCCGUGCCAGGAGUCACAUCUGCAGGCAUUCACAGCCCCCUAGCUAUGCUAUAUUCGUGGCUUACCUUCCGGUCCUCUUCCUCCCCCGUCCUGAGGGCUGGGGGACGCUCUUCGCACCCCCUGCACCCCCUGCUGGCUCCAGUCCUCCCCAUUUCUCCCAAGAUGCCUGCUCAGACCACCGUGGGCAGAGAGAAGAUCGUGCCAGCCACUCGCUAACUCAGCGGAUAUUUAUGCCUGUGCAAACACCACACACGCCUUCUGCAUGAUUUGGAGCUAAAUGCGGUGUUACUUAAUUAAUGCACAUGUAACACUUGAGAAUAUUACACCUAUUAGAACUCACAGACAAUUAACACUCCGGGGCCGCUGACG
rnacentral:lncRNA from 1 species